UUCAUGUCCUUUUUUCAUUUCAUGUAUUUUAAAGCAAGUCCCAAGAGCUCAUCCUCGAGAGAGCUCCAAACCGAACAGACCAGAUUUAAAGCACUCAGUGGAAAUGGAAAACCAUAACUUUAAUAACAGACUGGUGUCACCUCCUCUUUUGAGUCCUUGAAAUUCCGUGUGGGCCUCAGGCCAGGGGCCCUGUGUGAUCCCUUCCCUCGGGAGCCGCAGUGGUUUCCCCGUUGAGUCGCGUGGCUCAAGGUCGACGUUUUUCAGCAAAUCUGGUGGACUGCAGAAGACAACCGCAUGGGAUACCAAGCUCUAAUGGACCUUUGGGAAGAGAAGCUGUGGCUUAUGUGGAAUUUACAUGGGCCUCCUGGUGGAAGAAAGCUUAUCUGUUUAGUAUUUGUGCAUUUUACUAAAAUGGCAGCUUUAAAAAAAAAAAAAAAAGUUGUGUAUCUGCUAUUGUGAUGCCAAUGCCCGUGUUUUAAGUGGAAAAAAAAAAAUGACCUCUUUGCUUUGUGCUGUGUACACAAGAUUGCUGGAAAAGUAAAGGAAUACCCUUUUUAUGGCUCACACAGCUUAAAAGUAGCUGUCACUCAAACAUGCGCUCACAGUUGAGCUGAUUUUGUUUCAUUCUAAAUAAAUUGUUUCUUUUGAGGAAAA